rnacentral:rRNA from 1 species
AUUGAACGCUGGCGGCAGGCCUAACACAUGCAAGUCGAACGAGUGGCGGACGGGUGAGUAAUGUCUGGGAAACUGCCUGAUGGAGGGGGAUAUCUACUGGAAACGGUAGCUAAUACCGCAUACCAUCAAAUGUGCCAAGAUGGGAUUGGCUUGUUGGUGGGGUAACGGGCCACCAAGGCGACGAUCCCGAGCUGGUCUGAGAGGAUGACCAGCAAAACGGGAACUGAGACACGGGCCAGACUCCUACGGGAGGCAGGAGUGGGGAAGAUUGCACAAUGGGCGAAAGCCUGAUGCAGCCAUGCCGCGUGUAUGAAGAAGGCCUUCGGGUGGUAAAGUACUUUCAGCGGGGAGGCGUUACCCGCAGAAGAAGCACCGGCUAACUCCGUGCCAGCAGCCGCGGUAAUAC